UACGUAGGCAGCGAGCGUUGUUCGGAGUUACUGGGCGUAAAGGGUGUGUAGGCGGUCCUCUAAGUUUGGUGUGAAAUCUCCCGGCUCAACCGGGAGGGUGCGCCGAAAACUGGAGGGCUAGAGUGCGGGAAGGGAGAGUGGAAUUCCUGGUGUAGCGGUGAAAUGCGUAGAUAUCAGGAGGAACACCGGUGGCGAAGGCGGGUCUCUGGGCAAUUCCUGACGCUGAGGCGCGAAAGCGUGGGGAGCAAACGGG
rnacentral:rRNA from 1 species